UAUCUUCAGAGUUACUAAAGAACACAUUACUUGACAGAAGUCCCAUGGAUGUAAACAACGUGGUAAAGCCUUUGCACAUGUCGUCUUCAAGGGCAUUAAAAACCUAGAUUGCAGUGAACUCUUAUGAAUGUAGUCAACUUGAUUAAGACUUUGCAUAUCAGAGUCUCCUCCUUUUGCAUGAAAAGAAUCAUUUAGCACAGUGAUAUUGUGUGUUUGUGUGUUUGUGUGUGUGUGUGUGUGUGUUUAUGCUUGUAACUCUUUUGUCUACUCAUCCCAUACUCUUUCUCUAGUUAAUUACUUGCCUAUCUUUGAUAUGAGGAUUUGUUGUUUUUUUAUUGUCAUAUGUUAUGUCUUGUUUAGUUGAUAUCCACAAGAGGCUGCCCUGCUAUUUUUCGAAGAGGAUGGUUGAGGAGUGGAUCUUGGGACCAUGGUAGGUUUGGAAUGUCAUGGAGAAGUGAAGGGGAGGGAAAACAACCCAGGAAUGAAACCUUCAGCCUAUAAAGUUUCCUGCUUGCAAGGUGUACUGUGUCAAUACUAGCACAGAACUUGUGGUAGUAACCAAAUAUAGUGGUUUAAUUGGAUGCACAUGAAACAAGAAGGAGCCUGUAACUGACACUGGUUGAUCAGAAACUAGAAGCAAGAUAAGCAAGAAUCAUACUUUAGAACCAAACAUUACUACCCGUUGUCCAUCAACUCUUUCCCUACAAAAAAACAUGGUGAUGUUCUGCUCUUUUCAUAGUUUUGUGACUUGUCCAACUGUCAUUAAUGUCUGCCUUCAGUAGGGCAUGGGAGUAAUAUAAAUGACUCACAAUUAAACAGUAGAAGCUAGGUUUCCAGUCUCUAUUGUUUUCUUUGUCUAUAAGCUUGGGGAACUGCUGAGAAGAGGGGGAGAAAGAAUUGUGGAAACCAGAGGUUUUCAA
rnacentral:lncRNA from 1 species